rnacentral:rRNA from 1 species
UACGUAGGGUGCAAGCGUUGUCCGGAAUUAUUGGGCGUAAAGAGCUCGUAGGCGGUCUGUCGCGUCUGCUGUGAAAAUCCAGGGCUCAACCCUGGACCUGCAGUGGGUACGGGCAGACUAGAGUGCGGUAGGGGAGAUCGGAAUUCCUGGUGUAGCGGUGAAAUGCGCAGAUAUCAGGAGGAACACCAAUGGCGAAGGCAGCUCGCUGGGACGGUACUGACGCUAAGGCGCGAAAGCGUGGGGAGCAAACAGG